rnacentral:ncRNA from 2 species
UAUAACAGAAGAGGAGCACUACCCAGGCAGGUGUUUUGUGGAGCCACUACUCCAAAACAAAUCAUUUAUGGGGAGUAGUGCCGAGAUAACGUUACAAGUGGACAACGUUAUCGGGUGAAUGGGCUGAAUCCCUUCAACUGUCGCCAUUGAUUGUGCGAAGAGCUUCUGAGGUU